GGUUUUUUUUUUUAUUACUACCCAGGCUAUCAACAUUUGUUCGCGCGCAUACUCCUAUUCACUUUAACGCGCUCGUUGGAGUGAGGAGUAUAAUAGUUCUGAACGGUAUCUUGACUCGCAAAAGGGGCGUGAUAAACUGCACACACCAUGUUAUCCCUUCCACCAUGAGACUAAUUGCCUUAUCGGGUUAAAUGUGUCAUUGAUUGGUCACUAUCGCGAGGAGGACUGAUCUUUAGAAUAAGGAGAUUGAGUUGCCACUCUACCGUCUCGCCAUGAAGAAGUGAGAAUUUUACAACAUACGUUCAAACAUACUGAUGAUGGCUCGGAAGCAGGCCGAAACGUUUAUGUAUGGAGCACCUUUGAGCUAACCGGGAAUGUAAAUCGACAUAAUUGCAAAUAUUGGAGCGAUGAAAAUCCUUUUUGGAUGUACAAGGCACAUACUUAGAAUCAGCAAAAAGUCAACGUAUGAGAAUUUUAAAUGAAACCAUUAUUGGGCCUUUCUUUAUUGAAGCAAGAUGGCGCCACCUCACUACAGUUACGAGUAUGCUAAUAUCUGAAUGAAGUUUUUCCGAAUAAGUGAAUAGGAAGAAGGGGUUACAUUGAAUAGCCAGCAUGUUCGCCUGAUCUAAAUCCACUCAACUAUUUUUUGUGAGGAUAUUAAAGGGAAAAAUUUAUAAUACUAAACCUUGAAUUUUAAUGAUUUACGUCAACGAAUAAUAAAUGAAUUUAGAAUCAUGCCUCGCAAAUUCUGUAGAAAUGCAAUCUUAAUCUUUUUUAUAAUCGUAUAAUGGUGUAAUCUAGCACAUUGUCAGACUGCGGAAGGACGCCAAUUUGAGUAUUUGCUAUAUGUAAUAUUCUUUUAACCCUAGUUCGCUAUACUGGAAUAUGACAUAUCUAAUGCGAUUUUUCACAUUACAAUUCAGACUUUAACUUUUUAUGAU